rnacentral:rRNA from 1 species
UACGGAGGGUGCAAGCGUUAAUCGGAAUUACUGGGCGUAAAGCGCACGCAGGUGGCUGAGUCAGUCGAUUGUGAAAGCCCUGGGCUUAACCUGGGAAUUGCAGUCGAUACUACUCGGCUCGAGUAUGGGAGAGGGCAGUGGAAUUCCCGGUGUAGCGGUGAAAUGCGUAGAUAUCGGGAGGAACAUCAGUGGCGAAGGCGGCUGCCUGGCCCAAUACUGACACUCAGGUGCGACAGCGUGGGGAGAAAACAGG